GGGUCAGUAGGUUGGUCGUGCCACCGGUACGUACUGGUCUCACUGAUUCCUCCUUCCUGAAGAACCGUAAUGCCAUUAAUUUGGUGUUGCGGGGAAACAGGACUGUUACUUUGAAAAAAUUAGAGUGUUUAAAGCAAGCUAACGCUUGAAUACAUUGGCAUGGAAUAAUGAAAUAGGACGAUCGAUCCUAUUUUGUUGGCUUCUAGGAUUGACGUA
rnacentral:rRNA from 1 species